CCUUCCUCCUUUUUAAAGCCUGUGCAGCAUACCGACCAGUUCCCCUCUGACGAUCCAGGUCGGGCAAAACGCGUGCGUCGUGGGUCCAUGUGAUGCGGUCUCUGAUCACUAUCGACAGCAUUAGGUUUUAACUACUGGGUUUUGCUAUUAGCGAUCUGGCGUUUUUAACACGUUUCUAACUUAUGCACUCUAUGAAGGAUCCUGGAUAGUAUAGCUGCCAUGGAAAUAGCUUGAGGUGCCCUCGAAGGCACGGGGGGGGAUAGUGUAGCAUGACUAUUUAUCGCUGUAGCAUUACUCGUUUAUAAUUCUCUCUUACCUGCAGGAAAACUUUCUAAUUUAUUAGCUUUCAGAGAUUGUAUCUCCUAGAACCAUUUCCCUCUCUCUCAUCUCGGCACCAUUUUAGCCUAAGGCACUGUGAUACAUGACCGCAAUCUAGUAGCUAUUGUAUUUUUUAGAUCUCAAACUUAUGAAUGCUACUAUUCGAGUGUACCCAUAGUUGCCAUGUUCACAAUUGCAGGCGUUCUGGUAGCAACAGGGGUGAUAUGCAACACGGUUAUAUGCUAAUGCAGCGUUACCCGUAUAGAGAUUUAUUUAACCAACAGCCAAGUGAUUGAGGUCUAAUUUAGGGUUGCAAGUGAUCCUGCAUUGAUAGCUAUCUUGAGUAUUGGUUUCCAUGCUGCCACUUCUCUCCCUCUGCUCUUGGCACGUCCCUGGCACUACUAUACAGGCAGCUAUCUACAGCCAUCUAGUAUUGUUUUCUGUGAAGAAUAGGAUUGUCAGUCCUAAUUCAGCAUUACCAGAUGUUUAAAACUGACACGGAUGCUAGGCUUAGCCAUUAUCUACCUUGGUUCUCCUUUAUUUUACAGACAGUAUGCAUCGUUCAGGUAGAGGUAUGUGGUAUUCAUACACUAUUACAGCUAUUUCAGAUCAUACCUAUAUGAGUGUCAGAUGUAGCUCAACAGUACUGUAUGUCUUAUUACAGACAUAUCAGUUAAGAUUAGCCACAAUGCUAUAACCUUGGCUAUCCUUACUCGGAUUUUGCUCUUUUAUUAUAGACAGCACGUAUUGCACCGGUCUACGGUCUGUAUGGUGUUAAUGCUGAUCUUGUUUAGCACUUGCCAUUCCUAGUCACAUUUUUCUGAGUAGUAUAUUUAGCAUGGGGUGGUGGUGGUGGUGGCGGCGUGUGUGUGUGUGUACACACACACACACUUAGUUAAUCACGCUACAUUCCAUUGAUCCUUCUGGAUAUAUCGAUCUAUUAGGUAUUGAUUUUUAUUUUGGAAUAUACUGUCCCUUUAUGAUUUUUGGUUUUCCACUAUUCUGUUUGUAUACAGCACAUUGGGUUAUUGCCAUUGGCAAUUUUUU